rnacentral:lncRNA from 1 species
GAAUAAGGCUGAGUUGGUUAUGAAAUAAAUGAGAUGCUCUCCCCUUCCACCCAGGGCUUAGUUUGUCUAUGUGAUUUUCCUUUGCUACUCAUCUCCACGAGAGAACAAGUUGGAAAAACCUUGGGAAUCCUAAAUGUGUGGAAGUUAUGAGGCUGAGCUAUCCAACAUGAAAAUUUGGAUAUUCAAGUGAAGUAUAUAUAUAUAUAUACAUUUACCAUAAAAUAGGUGGAAGUCUCCAAACUAGGGAGCCAAGUCAUGGAUUAGGAAGAGGAGCCAAAAAAUGACUAAACCUAAAAUCAUUAGUUAUUUGGGCCGAUUCCGUUCAUUUUAAAGAGUCUGGCAUCUGGACUUGAAAAUCCGCUAGAGAAAAGGGAGCCUAGGUUGUGCAAAAAAGGUGUGGGGGGGUGCUUCUGCUGGUCCUCAGGCAAGGCUGCUAUCUUCUUUUUUUGUGAAGGAGCUGGAAUAUGCCUAUGCAUUAGCUUUAAGCUAAGAAAUCUUGGCAGCAUCUGUGCUUUUGCAAGGAAGAAAUAACCAAGGAUUUCAGCAGAGCUAGAAGCUGGAGGCAGAGAAGACUACAGCUAAGCCAUCAUCCAUAUGGAGAAUAUCCUCUGUAGACAAGCUAACUGGUGUCUGAGGUGGCUCUGCAGUUACCCAAGAUUUAAAAUCAGUGGGGAGCAGAUGUUUCCCUUGGUUUCUGUGGCAUCAAUACCAUCUGCUGUAUUAGGUCAGAAAAGCAGCAUGCCUGCCCAUAGCUACCCAGCUAAGCCACCUCUGCAGAGUAUGGACUCCAAGAUGGAAGAAAGAAUCCAAGCAGAGCCCAGGGCCUGGAAGAGAUCACCCUACAAGCUUGAGGCAGUAUUUUCUCCAUCCCAGGAGGGGAGCUGA